UUUUUAACAACCUAUGGUGGGCUCCCAACGCUGCAAAAUAGUGUAAAAAAAAAAUUAAAACUUAAAUCGCAGCGCGUGUGGUUAGUGGAGGUUGCGAAUGAAUUCUCCGUCUCGCCCAUUUUCAUACUCCCUCAAACCCUAGCAUACCUUCUCCCUCUCCCUCUCCCGGCCUCUCUGUCUCUGUCUCUGUCUCUGUCUCUCUUUCUUUUCAUCAGAUUUAACAUCGCCAAGGUUGGAAUUCCGCCGUUUUCACCGGUGUUCGAAGGUGUUUCGGCGUUAUCAUCAGAUUUUGAGCAAAUUCCCAGUGCCGAUUUACGCCUCACCAAGAAUUCCAGAAAUUAGGUCACAGAUUGGUAUUUUUUCACCUGAUUUUGGAGAUAUUUCAGAGCUUCAUUACCUGGUAUUUUUGGAGGAAGCUUCAAUUUAAUUUUAUUAUUUUCCUUUGAGUUUGGGGAAGCGAAGCCAUGGGAGAGUCGUUGAACUACCUCGUAUCGGAGCUCUAAUUCACUACCAAUUACCUCGAAUUUAAUUGUGUUUUUUAAUCUGACCUUGUAAACCUCUGCCUAAAGCCUAAAACCCAUCAAGUUCCUCCGCUACAGAAUUGCUCCGUCGAUGGGGAAAGGCGAGAUGGAGCGGCUGACCUUUGAAUUGAACCAUGAUUCUUCAGUUUGUUGCUUCACCUACGGCAAGAAACAAGGUCGUGCUGGUAGAGUGCAGCCUGGAGUUUGUUAUAGGCUAUAUCCAAAACUAGUUUAUGAUGCAAUGCCUCAGUAUCAGUUACCAGAAAUUCUUCGGCCACCUUUGCAAGAACUUUGUUUAAACAUAAAGAGUUUGCAACUUGGAACUGUUGGGUCAUUCUUAGCAAAAGCACUUCAGCCUCCAGAUUCUCUCUCUGUCCAAAAUGCUAUUGAACUUCUGGUUUCGAUUGAACUGAUGGGAAAUUAAAUCACAUACCAAAUGUUCAUACGAUAGUUGUGCUGUUAAAGAGCUACCCUUUGGGUACUAUCAACUUUUAACGAAUCAUAAGAUCCAGAAUAACUCUAAAAUAUAGUUUUAGAGUUACUAAAAUAAGUUAAAGUAUGGAAAAGAGUACGAGUACGAGGCCCCACCCAGUCAAGCUUUUACAUGCAAUGCCACAAUCAAAAGAUGAAGAGGUUGUUGUUAUAUCUCAGACAAAGCGUUCGGUCCUGCGUCUUUUACUGAGAAUGUAUAAAGAUGGGGAAGAAACAUCUACUGAUGACCAGCAUCUCAAACACUUGAUUAGCAUAUGUGAGGACAAUACAAAGUACACUGCGUGAAAGUUCAGGCAGCUGCAUCCAAUCGUACGUUGCAAGCCUGAAUUUUGUCGACCUUGCUGGAAGUGAGAGGGCUUCACAAACACACGCUGAUGGGGCUAGAGACAACUGUGAUUCGAAAGCUUAGUGUCGGUGGAAAGCGUACUGGUCAUAUACCUUACAAAGACUCAAAACUUACGAGAAUUUUACAACACUCUCUUGGUGGAAAUGCUCGUACUGCUAUCAUUUGUACGUUGAGUCCAACAAUGAGUCAUGCCUAGCAGACACGGAUUACAUAUAAUGAAAUAUAUUUUGGAGGGGAAGGAACUGGAAACAUGAAGAAAAUCCGAAAUAAGAAGGGGAAGGCAGUUGCUGUUGUAGUAAUAAUGGCCGGCAGUUUUUUUUGUCCUUUUGAUGGUCUGGUCACAGCAUGUUAAUGUUGAUGUUUAUAUUUAAACUCCGGCUCCCAUUUUUUACAAUUAUGUUAGGUUGAAUGUUUGUGCUAAAAACAUUAUGGAGGCUCGUACCUACUACCAAUGUAUCAUUACUGCAGUAAUUUAUUUAUUUUGUAAAAUAAAUGUACUAUUUGCAGCGCACACACUCAGGUGAAUGCUGCGAAUAGUGUCGAAAAUUUGCUUUGAUAA